CUAAUGUGUCUUGGAUAAGGUGUCUUGGCUAAGGUGUCUUGGCUAAUGUGUCUUGGCUAAUGUGUCUUGGCUAAGGUGUCUUGGCUAAGGUGUGUUGGCUAAGGUGUCUUGGCUAAGGUGUCUUGGCUAAUGUGUCUUGGCUAAUGUGUCUUGGCUAAAGUGUCUUGGCUAAUGUGUCUUGGCUAAGGUGUCUUGGCUAAGGUGUCUUGGCUAAUGUGUCUUGGCUAAUGUGUCUUGGCUAAGGUGUCUUGGCUAAUGUGUCUUGGCUAAGGUGUCUUUGCUAAGGUGUCUUGGCUAAUGUGUCUUGGCUAAUGUGUCUUGGCUAAUGUGUCUUGGCUAAGGUGUCUUGGCUAAGGUGUCAUGGCUAAUGUGUCUUGGCUAAUGUGUCAUGGCUAAUGUGUCUCGGCUAAUGUGUCUUGGCUUAUGUGUCUUGGCUAAGGUGUCUUGGCUAAUGUGUCUUGGCUAAGGUGUCUUGGCUAAGGUGUCUUGGCUAAUGUGUCUUGGCUAAUGUGUCUUGGCUAAGGUGUCUUGGCUAAUGUGUCUUGGCUAAGGUGUCUUGGCUAAUGUGUCUUGGCUAAGGUGUCUUGGCUAAUGUGUCUUGGCUAAGGUGUCUUGGCUAAGGUGUCUUGGCUAAUGUGUCUUGGCUAAGGUGUCUUGGCUAAGGUGUCUUGGCUAAUGUGUCUUGGCUAAGGUGUCUUGGCUAAGGUGUCAUGGCUAAUGUGUCUUGGCUAAUGUGUCAUGGCUAAUGUGUCUCGGCUAAUGUGUCUUGGCUAAUGUGUCUUGGCUAAGGUGUCUUGGCUAAUGUGUCUUGGCUAAGGUGUCUUGGCUAAGGUGUCAUGGCUAAUGUGUCUUGGCUAAUGUGUCAUGGCUAAUGUGUCUCGGCUAAUGUGUCUUGGCUAAUGUGUCUUGGCUAAGGUGUCUUGGCUAAUGUGUCUUGGCUAAUGUGUCUUGGCUAAGGUGUCUUGGCUAAGGUGUCUUGGCUAAUGUGUCUUGGCUAAUGUGUCUUGGCUAAGGUGUCUUGGCUAAUAUGUCUUGGCUAAUGUGUCUUGGCUAAGGUGUCUUGGCUAAGGUGUCUUGGCUAAUGUGUCUUGGCUAAUGUGUCUUGGCUAAUGUGUCUUGGCUAAUGUGUCUUGGCUAAUAUGUCUUGGCUAAUGUGUCUUGGCUAAUGUGUCUUGGCUAAUGUGUCUUGGCUAAGGUGUCUUGGCUAAUGUGUCUCGGCUAAUGUGUCUUGGCUAAGGUGUCUUGGCUAAGGUGUCUUGGCUAAUGUGUCUUGGCUAAUGUGUCUUGGCUAAUGUGUCUUGGCUAAGGUGUCUUGGCUAAGGUGUCUUGGCUAAUGUGUCUUGGCUAAUGUGUCAUGGCUAAUGUGUCUCGGCUAAUGUGUCUUGGCUAAUGUGUCUUGGCUAAGGUGUCUUGGCUAAUGUGUCUUGGCUAAGGUGUCUUGGCUAAGGUGUCUUGGCUAAGGUGUCUUGGCUAAGGUGUCUCGGCUAAUGUGUCUUGGCUAAUGUGUCUUGGCUAAGGUGUCUUGGCUAAGGUGUCUUGGCUAAUGUGUCUUGGCUAGGGUGUCUUGGCUAAGGUGUCUUGGCUAAGGUGUCUCGGCUAAUGUGUCUUGGCUAAUGUGUCUUGGCUAAUGUGUCUUGGCUAAGGUGUCUUGGCUAAUGUGUCUUGGCUAAUGUGUCUUGGCUAAUGUGUCUUGGCUAAGGUGUCUUGGCUAAGGUGUCAUGGCUAAUGUGUCUUGGCUAAUGUGUCAUGGCUAAUGUGUCUCGGCUAAUGUGUCUUGGCUAAUGUGUCUUUACUAAGGUGUCUUGGCUAAUGUGUCUUGGCUAAGGUGUCUUGGCUAAGGUGUCUUGGCUAAGGUGUCUUGGCUAAGGUGUCUCGGCUAAUGUGUCUUGGCUAAUGUGUCUUGGCUAAGGUGUCUUGGCUAAGGUGUCUUGGCUAAUGUGUCUUGGCUAGGGUGUCUUGGCUAAGGUGUUUCGGCUAAUGUGUCUUGGCUAAUGUGUCUUGGCUAAGGUGUCUUGGCUAAGGUGUCUUGGCUAAGGUGUCUUGGCUAAUGUGUCUUGGCUAAAGUGUCUUGGCUAAGGUGUCUUGGCUAAUGUGUCUUGGCUAAGGUGUCUUGGCUAAUGUGUCUUGGCUAAAGUGUCUUGGCUAAGGUGUCUUGGCUAAUGUGUCUUGGCUAAUGUGUCUUGGCUAAUGUGUCUUGGCUAAUGUGUCUUGGCUAAGGUGUCUUGGCUAAUGUGUCUUGGCUAAGGUGUCUUGGCUAAGGUGUCUUGGCUAAUGUGUCUUGGCUAAGGUGUCUCGGCUAAUGUGUCUUGGCUAAUGUGUCUCGGCUAAUGUGUCUUGGCUAAUGUGUCUUGGCUAAUGUGUCUUGGCUAAUGUGUCUUGGCUAAUGUGUCUCGGCUAAUGUGUCUUGGCUAAUGUGUCUUGGCUAAGGUGUCUUGGCUAAUGUGUCUUGGCUAAGGUGUCUUGGCUAAGGUGUCUUGGCUAAUGUGUCUUGGUUAAGGUGUCUUGGCUAAGGUGUCUUGGCUAAUGUGUCUUGGCUAAUGUGUCUUGGCUAAUGUGUCUUGGCUAAGGUGUCUUGGCUAAGGUGUCUUGGCUAAUGUGUCUUGGCUAAGGUGUCUUGGCUAAGGUGUCUUGGCUAAGGUGUCUCGGCUAAUGUGUCUUGGCUAAUGUGUCUUGGCUAAGGUGUCUUGGCUAAUGUGUCUUGGCUAAGGUGUCUUGGCUAAUGUGUCUCGGCUAAUGUGUCUUGGCUAAGGUGUCUUGGCUAAUGUGUCUUGGCUAAUGUGUCUUGGCUAAGGUGUCUUGGCUAAUGUGUCUUGGCUAAGGUGUAUUCGCUAAUGUGUCUUGGCUAAGGUGUCUUGGCUAAUGUGUCUUGGCUAAGGUGUCUUGGCUAAUGUGUCUUGGCUAAGGUGUCUUCGCUAAGGUGUCUUGGCUAAUGUGUCUUGGCUAAGGUGUCUUGGCUAAGGUGUCUUGGCUAAAGUGUCUUGGCUAAGGUGUCUUGGCUAAGGUGUCUUGGCUAAGGUGUCGUGGCUAAUGUGUCUUGGCUAAUGUGUCUUGGCUAAUGUGUCUUGGCUAAUGUGUCUUGGCUAAGGUGUCUUGGCUAAGGUGUCUUGGCUAAGGUGUCUUGGCUAAUGUGUUUUGGCUAAGGUGUCUUGCCUAAGGUGUCUUGGCUAAGGUGUCUUGGCUAAUGUGUCUUGGCUAAGGUGUCUUGGCUAAUGUGUCUUGGCUAAGGUGUCUUGGCUAAUGUGUCUUGGCUAAGGUGUCUUGGCUAAGGUGUCUUGGCUAAUGUGUCUUGGCUAAGGUGUCUUGGCUAAGGUGUCUCGGCUAAUGUGUCUUGGCUAAUGUGUCUUGGCUAAGGUGUCUUGGCUAAUGUGUCUUGGCUAAUGUGUCUUGGCUAAUGUGUCUUGGCUAAUGUGUCUUGGCUAAUGUGUCUUGGCUAAGGUGUCUUGGCUAAUGUGUCUUGGCUAAGGUGUCUUGGCUAAUGUGUCUUGGCUAAGGUGUCUUGGCUAAUGUGUCUUGGCUAAUGUGUCUUGGCUAAAGUGUCUUGGCUAAUGUGUCUUGGCUAAGGUGUCUUGGCUAAUGUGUCUUGGCUAAUGUGUCUUGGCUAAUGUGUCUUGGCUAAGGUGUCAUGGCUAAGGUGUCUUGGCUAAUGUGUCUUGGCUAAGGUGUCUUGGCUAAGGUGUCUUGGCUAAUGUGUCUUGGCUAAGGUGUCUUGGCUAAGGUGUCUUGGCUAAUGUGUCUUGGCUAAUGUGUCUUGGCUAAGGUGUCUUGGCUAAGGUGUCUUGGCUAAGGUGUCUUCGCUAAUGUGUCUUGGCUAAGGUGUCUUGGCUAAGGUGUCUUGGCUAAUGUGUCUUGGUUAAUGUGUCUUGGCUAAUGUGUCUUGGCUAAUGUGUCUUGGCUAAGGUGUCUUGGCUAAUGUGUCUUGGCUAAGGUGUCUUGGCUAAGGUGUCUUGGCUAAUGUGUCUUGGCUAAUGUGUCUUGGCUAAUGUGUCUUGGCUAAGGUGUCUUGGCUUAGGUGUCUUCGCUAAUGUGUCUUGGCUAAGGUGUCUUGGCUAAUGUGUCUUGGCUAAGGUGUCUUGGCUAAUGUGUCUUGGCUAAGGUGUCUUGGCUAAUGUGUCUUGGCUAAUGUGUCUUGGCUAAGGUGUCUUGGCUAAGGUGUCAUGGCUAAGGUGUCUUGGCUAAUGUGUCUUGGCUAAUGUGUCUUGGCUAAUGUGUCUUAGCUAAUGUGUCUUGGCUAAGGUGUCUUGGCUAAGGUGUCUUGGCUAAGGUGUCUUGGCUAAUGUGUCUUGGCUAAUGUGUCUUGGCUAAGGUGUCUUGGCUAAGGUGUCUUCGCUAAUGUGUCUUGGCUAAGGUGUCUUGGCUAAGGUGUCUUGGCUAAUGUGUCUUGGCUAAGGUGUCUUGGCUAAGAUGUUUUGGCUAAGGUGUCUUGGCUAAUGUCUCUUGGCUAAUGUGUCUUGGCUAAGGUGUCUUGGCUAAUGUGUCUUGGCUAAGGUGUCUUGGCUAAUGUGUCUUGGCUAAGGUGUCUUGGCUAAUGUGUCUUGGCUAAGGUGUCUUGGCUAAGGUGUCUUGGCUAAUGUGUCUUGGCUAAGGUGUCUUCGCUAAUGUGUCUUGGCUAAUGUGUCUUGGCUAAUGUGUCUUGGCUAAGGUGUCUUGGCUAAUGUGUCUCGGCUAAUGUGUCUUGGCUAAAGUGUCUUGGCUAAGGUGUCUUGGCUAAGGUGUCUUGGCUAAGGUGUCUUGGCUAAGGUGUCUUGGCUAAGGUGUCUUGGCUAAUGUGUCUUGGCUAAUGUGUCUUGGCUAAUGUGACUUGGCUAAGGUGUCUUGGCUAAUGUGUCUUGGCUAAGGUGUCUUGGCUAAUGUGUCUUGGCUAAGGUGUCUUCGCUAAUGUGUCUUGGCUAAUGUGUCUUGGCUAAGGUGUCUUGGCUAAUGUGUCUUGGCUAAUGUGUCUUGGCUAAUGUGUCUUGGCUAAGGUGUUUUGGCUAAUGUGUCUUGGCUAAGGUGUCUUGGCUAAGGUGUCUUGGCUAAGGUGUCUUGGCUAAUGUGUCUUGGCUAAUGUGUCUUGGCUAAUGUGUCUUGGCUAAUGUGUCUUGGCUACGGUGUCUUGGCUAAGGUGUCUUGGCUAAGGUUUCUUGGCUAAUGUGUCUUGGCUAAUGUGUCUCGGCUAAUGUGUCUUGGCUAAGGUGUCUUGGCUAAGGUGUAUUGGCUAAGGUGUCUUGGCUAAGGUGUCUUGGCUAAUGUGUCUUGGCUAAGGUGUCUUCGCUAAUGUGUCUUGGCUAAGGUGUCUUGGCUAAGGUGUCUUGGCUAAGGUGUCUUGGCUAAUGUGUCUUGGCUAAGGUGUCUUGGCUAAGGUGUCUUGGCUAAUGUGUCUUGGCUAAUGUGUCUUGGCUAAGGUGUCUUGGCUAAUGUGUCUUGGCUAAGGUGUCUUGGCUAAGGUGUCUUGGCUAAUGUGUCUUGGCUAAUGUGUCUUGGCUAAUGUGUCUUGGCUAAGGUGUCUUGGCUAAGGUGUCUUGGCUAAUGUGUCUUGGCUAAUGUGUCUUGGCUAAUGUGUCUUGGCUAAUGUGUCUUGGCUAAUGUGUCUUGGCUCAGGUGUCUUGGCUAAGGUGUCUUGGCUAAGGUGUCUUGGCUAAUGUGUCUUGGCUAAGGUGUCUUGGCUAAUGUGUCUUGGCUAAGGUGUCUUGGCUAAGGUGUCUUGGCUAAUGUGUCUUGGCUAAUGUGUCUUGGCUAAGGUGUCUUGGAUAAUGUGUCUUGGCUAAGGUGUCUUGGCUAAUGUGUCUUGGCUAAGGUGUCUCGGCUAAGGUG